AAUAGCUAAGGCCUAAAGACACAGUCCAUCAUCGUCCCACCUGAGACUUGAUCAGUCACCACUGCCUUUUAAAAUAAUAUUAUUAUAUAUCAAUUUUCACUUAUUGCCAGCUGCCUUGAAGGCCUACUGUCAGGGAGCCAAGGCAGAAUAUAAAUAUUGUGAAUGGAUAAAUCAUAAAGAGGUAUUUUAUCCAAAUUACAGAUCUGAACAGUUUUACCUUUUGGAAAACACAUUUACUUGUUUGGUAAGAGGGAGCUGUAACGUGAAGGUAAAGGACCCCUGGAUGGUUAAGUCCAGUCAAAGGCAACUAUGGGGUAGCGGCGCUCAUCUCAUUUUCAGGCAGAGGAAGCCGGUGUUUGUCCACAAACAGCUUUCCGGGUCAUGUGGCCAACAUGACUAAACUGCUUCUGCCACAAUGGGAAACCAUGCCAGAAGCCAGAGCACACAGAAACACCGUUUACCUUCCUGCCACAAUGGUACCUAUUUAUCUACCUACACUGGCAUGCUUUCAAACUGCUAGGUUGGCAGGAGCUGGGACAGAGCAAUGGGAGCUCACCCCAUUGCAGGGAUUCGAACCGCUGACCUUCUGAUCAGCAAGCCCAAGAGGCUCAGUGGUUUAGAUCACAGUGCCGCCCACAUCCUUGCAAGAGGGAGCUGUGAUUGAUACGUGAAGCAUUUCUCAUGGUGGUUGUGGUUUUUUUGGCCUCAGUAAAACCAGAGGUGGCGGAAAAUGAAAACAUUUGUAAUUUGCACCCCGGCUAAUACACCACCACAUUUGUAUGAGUUAUGAUUGAAGGCAGGCACUUGCUUUUGCUACGAAAGUUACAUAGACUGAUGUAUGUAAAACCAGGAGUCUAUGUACUGGUAACUUUCAUAGGAAAAGCAAGAGCCUGCCUUCAAUCGUAACUCCAGAAAUGAUCCAGGCUUUGAUAUUUUUGGGGAUGAUGAUGGAAGAGAAUUGUUUAUUUACAAGUAUAUGCUGAAUUCUGUCUGAGGGGCAUCUCAAAGACUAGUUUGAGAGAUCUGAAACUUCUGCUAGGGAGGACAAGCCAAAACAGAAGCACAUUCCUCUGACUAAAGGGAGACUGCUUAUUCAUUUCCCAGUAUCUGAGGAUACAUGGAGUGAACAGUGAAUCUGUGGAGCCCUUAAGACAUUGCACAGCAAUUCUGUUGAAACUAACAAGAAUGAAUGAAAUCAGCAUGAACAGAAUAUUAAAAACUCAUGAAAUCUGCCCCAUUAACUUCAAACCUCCUCAAGUUUAUUCCAAGCACAUUAAAGUCUCUCUAAUGCAAAGCGGUAAUUAGAUUAAUACAUUUUUAGGUAUGUGUGUUUCUGGUGGGGGGGGAAAAACCCCAAACCUCAAGAUUUAUCAUUCAGGUUUGUACAUUCUGGACAUCAGCAGGCCAAGUAUAGCAAUAUAUCCAGGCUGCUUGCAGAUUUUAAUGCAAUGCUAAUAGCUAAUGUUACAUUGAACCAAAUCUGUCGUUCUUUCUUUGGGUGUGAUUCACACUUUUAUUUCAUCCUGAGGAUUUGGUAAUUUCACUUAUUCCUGCUAGGUGCUAUCGUGGCAAAGACACGGACCUAGAAAACAUAUGAGGGUCAGAAAGCCCAUCUGCAGACAAGGAAACAAAAUACUGCAAUACAGAAGAUCCAGCAACCAGCAGGGAUUUCUGAACCAGUAAGCUACACCAUCCAAUUGGUCAGUUGAAGCCCUCGAGAGACUAUAGAGUGCUAGACCUCAAGCCAAAGGGCAAGCUCUUUAAAAAAUCUGUUCUUCACUAAUGAGGUGAGGUUUGAGGCAGUCUCCAGGCCUUGCACAAUAUAUAUAGGGUUCAAUUCUGAUCUGGGGGGGCUGCUGGAACAAGCUGUCUUUCCAAGAGCUGUCCAUAAAUUGCCCAUGCCUUGCUGCUAAUAGUGUUCCUUUGCUAACCAUUCAUCCCUUUUAUAAUACAGUAUUAAUUUAUUGGAGGAUGGAUGGCGGCUAACAGAUUGAGGUUGAAUCCUGACAAGACAGAAGUACUGUUUUGGGGGGACAGGGGGCGGGCGGGUGUGGGGGAUUCUCUGGUCCUGAAUGGGGUAACUGUGCCCCUGAAGGACCAGGUGCGCAGCCUGGGAGUCAUUUUGGACUCACAGCUGUCUAUGGAGGCGCAGGUUAAUUCUGUGUCCAGGGCAGCUGUCUACCAGCUCCACCUGGUACGCAAGCUAAGACCCUACCUGCCCGCAGACUGUCUCACCAGAGUGGUGCAUGCUCUAGUUAUCUCCUGCUUGGACUACUGCAAUGCGCUUUACAUGGGGCUACCUUUGAAGGUGACCCGGAAACUGCAAUUAAUCCAGAAUGCAGCAGCUAGACUGGUGACUGGGAGUGGCCGCCGGGACCACAUAACACUGGUUCUGAGAUAUCUGCAUUGGCUCCCAGUACGUUUCCGAGCACAAUUCAAAGUGUUGGUGCUGACCUGUAAAGCCCUAAACGGCCUCGGUCCUGUAUACCUGAAAGAGCCUCUCCGCCCCCAUCGUUCAGCCCGGACACUGAGAUCCAGUGCCGAGGGCCUUCUGGCGGUUCCCUCAUUGCGAGGUAGUGAGGUUACAGGGAACCAGACAGAAGGUCUUCUCGGUAGUGGCGCCCUCCCUGUGGAAUGCCCUCCCAGCAGAUGUGAAGGAAAUAAGUAACUAUCCUAUCUUUAAAAGACAUCUGAAGGCAGCCCUGUUCAGGGAAGUUUUUAACAUUUAACGCUGUAUUGUUUUUAAUAUAUGAUUGGGAGCCGCCCAGAGUGGCUGGGGAAACUCAGCCAGAUGGGAGGGGGAUAAAUAAUAAAUUAUUAUUAUUAUUAUUAUUAUUCCACAAUGAACAUCUUAUUUCCCUCUUAAGGUGUCCUCUUGAAAACAACAAUCCAGACCAGACUUCUUGUUCACUGUGUACUUCCUCAGAAGUUUUCUUUCUGGUCCAGAGGGGAGAUCAUUCUGUUUCACAUGGAUAAAUCCUUAUGUCAAUGGAGCCAGUGAUUUAUUGCUCCACUGAAUACAGCCCAUAGUCUAUCCUGGUUUAAGGCAGUGUCUUACGUUCCUGUGUCCUGUGCGAUUUUACGUUAUUUGCAAUUAAAUGUGUCUGCAGUUAAACAUGAACAGGAGCCAAAGUUCUUAGGUUGAUGCUGCAAAGAGAACAAUACAGACCCCCCACUCAAUUCUUUGAGAAGCAACACAUUUGUAAUUUUCAUCACAUUACUUUUAAUGAGCCGGGCUAGUUGUGAGCCAGAAUCAGAUUCGGUUUGUGGCCUACAGACCUGUGGUGACAUAAAUUAUUUCAUAUACAAUAGGCUGUAUUAUGAAGCUUAGAACGUUGUUAUUAAUGAGAGCUGGCUAAGGGCUAGGAUAGCUUUAACCAUGCUGCCUGUAGCUGGGAUCAGCUGAUACUGAAACAGCUCCUGGGGGCUAAUUCUAGUGAGCAAAUGGAAGAGUCUGGAGAUGAGCUGAUCAUAUUUCCUUGGCUGAUGUCCUGAACACCCAGAAGCCACCAGCAUAUAUAGCAGAACAACUUGCCCUUGAUGGUUGGGAGUCAAGCAGCUACUCUCUCCGGUAACCUCAAUGCCAAAAGAUUGCAGAUUAUUAUUAUUAUUAAUAAUAAUAAUAAUAAUAAUAAUAUAUUAUUUAUACCCCACCCAUCUGGCUGGGCUAUCUGUAAAUAAGCCCACUCUGUGCGGCUUCCAACAAAAUUAAUGAUAAUAAUAAUAAAGCGAUAAAACAUCAGACAUUAAAAACUUCCCUAAACAGGGCUGCCUUUGGAUGUCUUCUAAAAGCUAGAUAGUUGUUCAUUUCCUUGACAUCUGAUGGGAGGGCAUUCCACAGGGUGGGUGCCACUACAGAGAAGGCCCAGUAACCUCAUUUCUCUUAGUGAGGGAACAGCCAGAAGGCCCUUGGAGCUGGACCUCAGUGUCCGGGUUGAACGGUGGGGCUGGAGAUGCUCCUUCAGGUAUACUGGGCAGAGGCUGUUUAGGGCUUUGAAGGUCCAUGUUUUGUUAGCCGCAAAAUGGAAAACGAGCAAGGAAUAUUUGGCAAUAAGAUUGGCAACUUAAGUUGACAGAAUAUGCACAGCUUGCAGACUUAACAUAUAGAAUAAGAGAACAAGAAGAACAUACGUUUAGAGAAGAUUGGAAAACGUUUAUUGAAUAUAAAAGAAAUAAUUGUGUACAGCUGAAAAAGUUGGCAGCAUUAAGAUAAAUUCAACAGUGUAAAUAAGUUAUGAUGGAUGCAAUAAUGGUAUACUGAGUGGUAUAGUUUUUGUAAAAUAUGCAGGGAUGUUAGAUAUGUAAAAUGAACCACGGAAAGAGAAGGGAAAUCACUGAUAUCUUAAGGAUGUAAAAUGAGUAUUUUAAACUGUAAAACAGAAAAUUAAAUUAUAUAUAUAUGUAUAUAUAUAUAUAUAUAUAUAUAUAUACACACACACACACACACACACACACACACACACACACACAUAACAGUCGACAUAUGAUUUGUUAGUCUGGAUUUAUUCAGGUUUACCAGACUAACAAAUCAGGUGUGACAGGGUUUGCCUAGCUCUACCCAGAGAUCAGAACAAAACUCAUUCGGGUCAUUGAGUUGUCACAGAACAAACCUCAACUGAAAUUCAUAAGACCUUAGAAGAGGCCCCUAACAGAAAGUUUGACCAUUGGUUUGAGAGACACAGUUUGGCAUGGCUAUGACUUACUAAGUACCUCCCAUCUAUAUAUUGGCAGUGAGUGAUAAGGAUGCUAGAGAUGAUAUGAAGCAAUCUGAAAUUCUUUCACUAUAUAUGGUUGGGUGUGGGAGGGAAGAAAUGCUGAAUGGCUACACAAGACUGAUAUUUCAUUCCUUUGUUUUUGUGUAGGGACUGUAUAUUAUUAAUGUCACACAGAUAUUGGAUGGGUGCUGCCAAAUCUAAUUGCAUUAUUCUUAGUGGGCAAAUAAACCAGGAAGGAUAGAUAGAGCCUGACAGCUUUUUAGAAAUCAGUGCUUGCAACUCUCUCUGUUCCAAGUUCCAUGAGAAUAGAUUCUGGAUGGUGUGCAAGGCUUGUUUAUAGGCCUCGGGAGACGGUGUGGUUAUGUAUGAAGAGAUCAUUGCAUAAUUUCACAUAUAUUGUAUAAUUUAUGCUACGAUGAAUGCAUUCUCUUUAAUGUUCCCAAGAUGUCUUGGAUGAUCCAAGGGUUAUUUCUGUCCACCAUGAAGAUGCAAGGAGACUACUAUGGCAGCUCCUCCUGUUUAGAGACACCAAAGUUGUGGAGAACGCAACUGUUUUCUAUUCUGCAGUGCAAAAAGAAUAAAGAAUCCCGUUAUCUCUGAGAAAGGGAACUUCUGAAUGUUCCUGAAUCUUUCAUGAUAACGCUAGUGUGAAGAGGGAUGUUUUUGGUGCGGGAG
rnacentral:lncRNA from 1 species